UACGGAGGGUGCAAGCAUUAAUCGGAUUUAUUGGGCGUAAAGGGCGCGUAGGCGGGGAUGUAAGUCAGAUGUGAAAUCCCGAGGCUCAACCUCGGAACAGCAUUUGAAACUGUAUCUCUAGAGGAUAGGAGGAGAAAACGGAAUUCCACAAGUAGCGGUGAAAUGCGUAGAUAUGUGGAAGAACACCGGUGGCGAAGGCGGUUUUCUAUCUUAUUCCUGACGCUGAUGCGCGAAAGCAAGGGGAUCAAACAGG
rnacentral:rRNA from 1 species